GAAAACAGGUUAUGUUACGGUAGUCACUAGACAGUAGGCAAAACACUUGAUAACUAAAUAUAUAAAAAGAAAUAAAAAAGAGUUAAAAAAAAUUACAAAAGUUAAAAUCGAAAAAACAAAAAGAUUAAAAAUGAAACUGCUUGUGAAAAAUGAAAAUAUCAAACCCCCUUCUUCAGAACAAUUCAAAGAGGGAGUUGCUGGUUCUUAAUGCAACAGUAAGUAACAUGCCACUGAAACCCCAACCUUUAAACAUAGAACUUGAACUCAGGAAGAGAUAAAAGAAAAAGACAUAGAUGACUGACUGAGUCCGACUGAAAGAGAGUUAAAAAGAAAUAAAAAAGAGUUAAAAAAGAAAUAAAAAAGAGUUAAAAAAAUUACAAAAGUUAAAAUCGAAAAUACAAAAAGAUUAAAAAUGAAACUGCUUGUGAAAAAUGAAAAUAUCAAACCCCCUUAUUCAGAACAAUUCAAAGAGGGAGUUGCUGGUUCUUAAUGCAACAGUAAGUAACAUGCCACUGAAACCCCAACCUUUAAACAUAGAACUUGAACUCAGGAAGAGAUAAAAGAAAAAGACAUAGAUGACUGACUGAGUCCGACUGAAAGAGAGUCGCCAAUAUACCGUACUGGUCAGCUCCCAGUUGAAUUUGCAAGGUUGGGUUCGAGUCCCAGUCCCACAGGUAGUGAAAGUAGGUAGGUAUCGUAAGUUCCUACUAACCAGCUGGAGUAUCAAAAC
rnacentral:lncRNA from 1 species